rnacentral:lncRNA from 1 species
UUUCUACACUACACAUGAUUCUUACAACACGAGGCUGUUUCUCUACAACCGGGACUCCAACGGAGACGUCAUCGGGGCAGCUGCUGCAGGUACUCCGCCUAAAACACACACAACACACAUUCAAGAAACAAGGAAGAAACGAAAAAAAUAUAAAAAAAUUAUAAACGUAAUCAACUCAUAUAGUAAGAUUUUUUAAUUACUAUGUCAGAUGCUGUAGGAUGAAUAUUCAAUUGGGCCCAACUGCCAACUUUUCUGUUGGUUAUAACUUUCAGGCUUCAGCAGCAUUACUUGUUCUUCUAACUAUACUUCAAGCAUAAUUGGAAACUUACCCAAACAUAGUAAUCCCAAUGUAUAACAUAUUUACCCUCACCAAAAUAUUUCUUUACGGAAAUCGCAUCACAACAUUACCGAUAUUGAAGGAUAAUAGGGUAAAAGGACUAUUUUCUUCACCACGUGACAUCUUUUGAUAACGUUCAUUACUACUGACAAAUCCAGAUCAAGUGAAUUUUUUUUCCUAGAUGAGAAAUACCCUAAACGGUCAUCGCUUUUUACAUCUUAAUUUCAAAAUAAAAAGCAUACAACUAUGUUAUGUUGCCCAUGAAAUGCAGGUUUGGACCUGCUGAAGAAUAUUGAAGUGCAAGCCAUAAUAGGUCCCAUGUACUCGGUACAGGCUAAUUUCCUUAUUUCUCUUGGACAGAAAGCUCACGUUCCUAUUAUUACCUUCUCAGCCACAAGUCCUUCUCUUUCAUCACUAAGGAGUCCUUAUUUCGUUCGGGCUACUCUAAACGACUCUACGCAAGUAAACCCCAUAGUUGCAAUUAUUCAAGCCUUUAAAUGGAAAGAAGUCGUGCCAAUCUAUGAGGAUAACGAAUUCGGGGAAGGGAUUGUACCGUUUUUAAGCGAUGCCUUAGAACAGGUAAAUGUGCGCGUACCUUACAGGAGUGUCAUUCCGUCAUUAGCAACAGACGAACAAAUUGUCGAUGAGCUUAACAAGCUGAAGACUAUGCAAACAAGAGUAUUCAUCGUGCACAUGUUACGCAGUCUCGGUUCUCGCCUGUUCGCCAAAGCAGCACAACUAGGAAUGAUGAGUAAAGAUUACGCAUGGAUAAUAACAGACAGCAUCACAAACGAAUUAACUGCAAUGGAUCCUUCUCUCGUAGCAUCGAUGCUAGGAGUAAUAGGAGUAAAACCUUAUAUUCCACAGACAAAAGAGCUGGACGACUUUGCAAUUCGAUACAAAAACAAGAUUCAGCAGAGCAAUCCAAAAGCUCUAAAUCUGGACAUAUAUGGUAUAUGGGCUUAUGACUCGGCCCUUGCACUAGCCAUGGCAGUUGAAAAAGCAGAGUUAGCAAAUCUUACAUAUCAGAAGACGAACACGUCGACAAAUUCUACAGAUCUUGAAGCCUUUGGGGUAUCGUUAAGUGGACCAAAGCUCAUUCAGGCUUUAUUGAGUAUCACGUUUAGAGGCCUUGCUGGAAACUUCCAAUUAGUCGAUGGCCAACUCCAAGCACCGCCUUACGAAAUAGUCAACAUUGUUGGUCCUGGAGCUAGUGGUAUAGGAUAUUGGACAAAAGAGAAUGGAAUUGUCAACAAACUAAACUUCAGUAGUUCAAGCGCAAGCGCAUAUUCAACUUCCAAAGACAACCUCGGAUCAAUUACAUGGCCAGGCAACGAAUCAUCGCCACCUAAAGGUUGGGUGGUUCCAACAAAAACCAAGAAAAUGAGAGUAGGCGUGCCUGUAAAGGAUGGUUUCACUGAAUUCGUCCGUGUUACAUGGAAUUCCGACAAUUCUACGACAGUGGAAGGAUUCUGCAUAGAUAUUUUUGAUGCGGUGAUGAAAGCACUACCAUAUGAUGUGCCGUAUGAAUACAUUCCAUUUGCAACUCCUGAUCACAAGAUGGCUGGAGAUUAUAAUGAAAUGGCCUAUCAAGUGUACCUUGGAGUAAGUAUUUUCCCUUUUCUUAUUGAAUUUAAAAAUCAAAUACAUUUUCUAUCAGCACAAAGCAAGAUGCACUAUACUAUGCCUGAAUUCUUCUAUUCUCUGCUUAUUGAUGAAUAGAACUAUGACGCUGUGGCUGGUGACGUAACAAUUCUAGGAAAUAGGUCUCAGUACGUAGACUUCACUCUGCCUUUUAUAGAGUCUGGUGUUUCGAUGGUUGUACCGAUCCCAGAGGAUAAGAAGGGAAAUACAUGGAUAUUAGUGAAGCCAUUGACUUGGGAGUUGUGGUCAACAAUAUUCUUCUUUUUUGUUAUAAUUGGGAUUUUGGUUUGGCUUCUUGAACGCCCAGAAAAUAGAGAUUUCAGAGGGUCUCGUUGGGACCAAUUUUGCAUGAUAUUCUGGUUCAGCUUCUCCACCAUGUUCUUUGCUCACAGUAAGCUACCUUUCAUCUUUUAAACUACAGUAAGUCCUUUUUUACCAAAUAUUAAAACCUACUUAAUUAACUCUGCCAAUUUUGGCAUUGACUUUUUUUUUUUUUGGUAGAGGAGAAGGUGAAAACCAACUCCGCCAAGAUAGUGGUGAUUGCAUGGCUAUUGGCGGUAUUUAUAUUAACCCAAGGCUAUGCUUCCAGUCUUACAUCCAUGUUAACAGCCCAGCAGCUGAUAGUGAAUGAUGUUAAUGAGCUUAUAAGAAACAAGGACUAUGUAGGCUACUCGAAUACAUCGUUUGUAUAUGGAUUUCUGAAAAACCUUUUUAACGAGUCGCAACUUCGGCCUUUCAACUCAGCAGAGGAAAUGGAUGAACUUCUCUCCAAAGGGAGUGCAAAUGGUGGAAUAGCAGCUGCCUUUCAUGAGAUCCCAUAUAUAAAGAUGUUUCUAGGCAAAUACUGUUCGAAAUACAUGAUGGUCGGACCCACUUAUAAGGCUGCUGGUUUCGGAUUUGUAUGUGACCCUCUUCACUAUAUAUAUGUUUUCAUUUUUUAUUUUUAUUUUUGCUUUCUAGACUCUCUUUCUCUCUUAUUUGCAGGUUUUUCCAAUAGAUUCUCCUCUAGUACCUGAUGUUUCGAGAGAAAUUUUGAAUGUGACUGAGGUUCAAAAAAUGGUGGAUAUUGAAAAGAAGUGGUUGGGAGAUGAGUCCAAAUGUCCAGACACUGACACCAAAAGUAUUGGCCUAUCAAGCUUCAGGGUAGUCUUUAUUAUUGUAGGAACAGUUGGAAUAGCAGUGGUCAUAAAUUAUAUGAUUAGACAAGGACGUGAAAAUAAGAAUGUCCAUAAAGAUGAUCCCCCAAUUGUCCAUAAUGAUCCCCCAAUUGUCCAUAAUGAUCCCCCAAUUGUCCAUAAUGAUCCCCCAAUUAUCCAUAAUGAUCCCCCAAUUAUCCAUAAUGAUCCCCCAAUUGUCCAUAAUGAUCCCCAAUUAUCCAUAAUGAUCCCCCAAUUAUCCAUAAUGAUCCCCCAAUUAUCCAUAAUGAUCCCAAAAUUGUCGAUAAUGAUCCCACAAUUGAGAGACAGAUAUAUGAGUUAUGGCAGUCACUAAAGACUUUCAAGGAAAGACUAACACCUAAACUCUAGCACAUGUGGCUGUCAGGUUUCUGUUUACCUCAAAAUAAAGAUUGGUGUGCGACUCUUAAUUGAGGAGGUGGUAUCCUAAUUUCUAAAUCUCAUUCUACGUGUUUCGUAAUUUUUUUCCCCUUAAAUUCUCUUUCUUGAAAUAACGUGAUUAACUUCUCUUCUGAGAAUAUCUUCUUGGGACUUUGAUCGGCAAGUUCUCUUAUGUUUUGUUUCAUGUUCUAACCUUUUGCUUUUACUGUGAUUAUGAUACAUAAAUUUGAACUUUGUUUUGGUUAUGUAUAUCCUCAUAAAACUUUAUCCAAAAGUUUGCAUUUUUUAUCGAUUCCUCAUUGACUCUUGUAAGUUGUAAGGGUGUGAGAGUGAGACUAAGAAAUGUGUUCGAAAUCAUGACAUAGAAACUCAAAUUUUUGCUGUCUUGGAAAGUUCUACUCACCCCUUACAUAUUCCCACUAUAAUUCCCUCUCGUCAAACAUAUUUGGAUUCUUCUACAUUAUAGCUUUUACGAUGGAAAAACUUAAGCUAACAGUGAAAAUGAGAUGCACAAGGAAUUAAAUGUUUACUGAGGAAUGACAAUCAUUACGAGCACGACAAUGGAAGUAAGGAGAUAAUUUCUAGGAGUUCAUAUUUGGGUACCGAGUAAGAAUUUGAGUAUCCUUGUCUAACAUGUUGAGCUUCGUGCCGCACGUGCAGACGUAUCUGAUCGAGGUCUCCUUUCUCCAAUUCUUCUUCUUCUUUUUGCCAAACUCAACUACAUUUGUACACAAUGAAUCACUCAAAGUCAGUUUUACCAAUAAAAAAGGACAAAAGGAAAAAAAAUCAAAUUUACAUUAUUUACUCAGCUCUGUGAUUACAUGGAAGUUGGAAAUAAAACAGAAUCCUUCUGUGAAUCUUGAGAAUAUAUUUUGUAAUUUACGCAGAGUGUUUUACGGGCUACGAAACAUUCCAAUUUUUCAAUAACAUGCAAUAUUUAAAUUAUGUUCUAAAAUUGCGAACACUCUCUUGAGUAAUUACAAUACAAAAUACCCUAAAUUUAAUUUUAAUUUACAGGUAAUUGGAAAGGUGUAAUCUGCAAGUGGAAUGGAUUGGGAAAUGAGUAGAGAAAAGAAUGACAAGUAGACUAUGAGUGUGCUUGUCUUCACGUCUUGAGCCUUAUGGAAAGUUGACCUUUCUGGUCGAAGACUUAUUUAUAUUCUUCUUCUUGACCAAGUCAACACACACGUACACACCCAAUCAAAUUUGAACCCCGUCCUCUCCCACACCCCACAGUGAGAGAAAAAGCCACAAUACCAACCUAAGGCCUUAAUUGACGAUAAAAGGUUACCUUUAACAAAUAGUCAAUAGGAUACAAGGACUGUUGGUGACGAAACCAAUAGGUAUUUUAUAUUUUGGAAUAAAUUACAGAAACUAUUUAAGACUUGUGCUAUUUGUAAAAGUAAAAUAAAGGGAAAGAUCAUAUAACUUUUCGGAUCAGCUUAAAAAUUACCAACCAUUUUUUUCAUCAAGUUGCAUGCAUGUUGGUGAUACGUCAUUGACUUCACAAAAGUAAACUCUAUGAUUCUUUCAGCACACACCAUGCUGGAUUAUAUAUAUAUUCUGUAUUAUACACAUAGCACAGACCAUGUUUUGGGCCCUACCUAUAUUUUAACUGUGGAUGUGACAGUUGAAGACAAACCCUUCAAACAAUGGUAACCAAACAAUGAUCAUUCUCUCAAGUCUCAAACAUGCAAAAUUUAGGAAAAAAGGAUAUGGAGAAGAGAAGAAUUACCUGCAGCAAACCAAUUCUGCAUCUCUUCUUUUAUUUAUUGAUCACUUUGAAGAUUUUUCCUACAAAAAUGGCGACGGCUCAGAACAUCACUGUAAGAGUAGGGGUUGUGUUAAACAUGGAUGGUUUUGGACAGAUGUCAUUCAACUGCUUAUCAAUGGCGCUUACGGAUUUCUACUCUACGCACAAACAAUAUAGAACGAAGCUGGUUCUUACCGACCGGGACUCCAAAGACGAUGCCGUUGGAGCAGCUGCAGCAGGUACUCUGCCUAUAAAAAAACAUAUAACACACACUCAGGAAAUAAGGAAGAAGAAAUAGAGGAAACAAAAAGUUAUAAUUUGAUUUAGCCUAUUAACUAUUCAAUGAUUUUCUUAUUCUUGUUCUGAGGUCUCCCAUGUGAAACAAUGGGUCAAUCGCUUUGUCUUGUCUGAAAAUGGAUGUUAUUAAUUAAACUAGUUGGCAAUCAAGAAAUUCUAUAAAUUUCAAAUUACAAUUCUGUAGGAACAAUCCAUAAUGAUUUUUUUGGGUAUGGCAUUUUAGUCUGUCCGGGAAACAAGUUUAUGUAUAAGAAAGAGUAAACGCUCUACUACUAUAUUGUUAGUUUCUUGCUCAAGUUCAACAGAACAAGAUGUUACUAGAUAUCACAGGGCCAAAAAACACUCUUAUUUAUCUGUUCCUCACAGGCUAGUUUGCUUAAGCAUUAUACAUAUUUUUCCCAAUAAAAGCUAUAAACUUUUCCUAGUUGUAUAAGUGAGAUUUUAAAAAAAAUUUAAGCCCACAAAACUUCAAUUUUCAAGAAAGGAGGAAGAACAUUGAAAUAUUAAAAUUUUCUAAAUAUUCACUCAAGAUGUGGCUGUAUCUACUACUAUUCAGUUCUUUACAUGGAAAAAUUGUGUUGAAGUACUAGCUGAAAUAUUACCAUAUACUGGGAAAGUGCAAACAGAUUCAAGAUGCACCUUCCAGAAUGUAGGCAAUCGACUGAUGAACGUUUUGUUGCACAUGAAAUGCAGGUCUGGAC